GUACACAGUAGAGUCUGACAGACAGAGAGAGACAGAGGUGUCAUUGUACACAGUAGAGUGACAGACAGAGAGAAACAGAGGUGUCAGUGUACACAGUAGAGUCUGACAGACAGAGAGAGACAGAGGUGUCAGUGUACACAGUAGAUACACGCGUGAAGUUAAAACAUCAACUCAUAAAGCCGGGAUUCAAUCAAAGGAGUCGUUAUCGACUACAAAACAAGGCUUUUCAUUUAAAAAGGUCAUUUCCACUUGAGCCGAUAUGUGCAGCGUUUCUGUCUGUGUACAAUAACGCGUCUCUGAUUGAAUAUCCGCCUUUUAAAUGAACAAAAGGCGACACACACACACACACACACACACACACACACACACACACACACACACACACACACACACAC